UCCUAUGCAGACCCGGUCUAUGUCAGGAAGUUUUAUGCCCAAAAUACACCCUACUUUGUUUUCCUUACUGCGGAACCAUAAUCCAGUAAUGCAUUCCAGGACAAAACAUAUAGAACUAGAUGUGAUCUUUGUCAGGGAAAAGGUUUUGGCUAAGUCACUCAGCAUCCCACACAUUCUAACCCAUGAACAAGUUGCAGACAUCCUUACUAAGGCCGUCUAAACUCAGGGUGUUCUCUCCUUCAGCUACCCCUUGAAUCUACAGAGGGAAUGUUCGAGAUAUAUGCCUCUGUCACUCAUCUAUGUUACAUGUGUUCUGUAAUAUCUAAUUCUGUUCAGUGCAUAACUUUUAGUUUAGCAGUUAGUUGCAUAUAGCUGUCAGUUAGUUUAAGAUUGUACAAGUUUGUUAACGAACUGUUAACCUUCUGUUAGAAGCUGCUGGUAGCUUUGCAACUCUACAAAUAGAGUUGAUCACACAGUACCAACUAGUUUUACAAGAUACACUUAAUUCAGUUUCAGAUUUCUCUCCCUUUUAUAUACAUUUCUAUCAUUAUAAAUACACUUAAUUCAGUUUAAGAUUUAUCUCCCUUUUAUAUACAUUUCUAUCAUUAUAAAUACACUUAAUUCAGUUCAUACCUUGUAUAUCUUGUGAUAGAAAACUUCAAGCAACCGAAGCUCGGCAUUAGGAUGGGACAACUCUACCUGAGCACCAACAGUAAAAGUGGUGACCUGUUACCAUAAAGUUGUGCAAACACCAUAACUCUUUUAUCUGCAAAUGCAAUGCAUGCAAGUUUAAGGAAAAAAGUUUAACAACUUCACCUUUGUUUUAAGAUCAUCAAGGACAUCCCCCACAGUACUCUGCUUUGGAAGUCUGAUGGUAUGACUAACCACCUGAUUGAACAAAUUAAAGAAAUAUAGCAACGGGUUAAGAGAGAAAUCAAGCCGAAAAUGGAAGAGAAGCAGGUCACCAUACUCACUUCAUCCUUCGUGGCAUAAUGAAAUGCAACUUUCAGAGUCUUCAAACCUUGUAAUUCUGGUAGAGGGAUAUCAAGUACUUCAUAGUAUAGUAUAUCUGAGGUCUGACAUUGAAGAAAGGAAUCAGAUGUAUAGCACUUCAAAGAACAACCAUUAAGGAGUUAACUAACCAUAACUACCUGAUUGUAGUGAACUAGCAUAUCAGACAAAUGUUCCACCCCUCGGUACUUAAUUGGCUGGGGUUUUGGUUGCUGAGAGUAGCAGUUAUGUGGGGUAAGCCGUAUUUUAGAUGGAUCAUCCAAACCAAGUUGUUGCGCUACUUUCUCCACCACAUCAUCAUAUGUAUAAAGCCUUGACCUAGAAAUCAAUAUAAAUAAGAGUAUAAGAAUAAGGAUAGAAUGUUAAGCAUAAUAACAUACAAAUAUUUUCAUCUUCC